CAGUAGCCACGGGAAUACGAGGGGGGCAAGCGUUGUUCGGAAUUAUUGGGCGUAAAGGGUGCGUAGGCGGUUUGAUAAGUCAUCUGUGAAAUCUAUGGGCUCAACCCAUAGUCUGCAGGCGAAACUGUCGGGCUUGAGAGUGGGAGAGGUGAGUGGAAUUUCCGGUGUAGCGGUGAAAUGCGUAGAUAUCGGAAGGAACACCUGUGGCGAAAGCGGCUCACUGGACCAUUUCUGACGCUGAUGCACGAAAGCUAGGGGAGCAAACAGGAUUAGAUACCCCAGUAGUCCCUGUCUCUUAUAC
rnacentral:rRNA from 1 species